GAUGAAGAACGUAGCGAAAUGCGAUAAGUAAUGUGAAUUGCAGAAUUCAGUGAAUCAUCGAAUCUUUGAACGCACAUUGCGCCCGCCAGUAUUCUGGCGGGCAUGCCUGUUCGAGCGUCAUUUCAACCAUCAAGCCCCCGGGCUUGUGUUGGGGACCUGCGGCUGCCGCAGGCCCUGAAAAGCAGUGGCGGGCUCGCUGUCACACCGAGCGUAGUAGAUUUUAUCUCGCUCUGGGCGUGCUGCGGGUUCCGGCCGUUAAACCACCCUUUUAACCCAAGGUUGACCUCAGAUCAGGUAGGAAUACCCGCUGAACUUAAGCAUAUCAAUAAGCGGAGGA
rnacentral:misc_RNA from 1 species